rnacentral:rRNA from 1 species
UCUGCAAGCUCUGGACCCUGACAUGUGCAGUCAUCUUGUAAACUAAGCAGGGUCUGGCCUGUUUGUAUUGUCUGGGAGACCACCUGGGAAUGCCAAGUCCUGUAAGAC